ACUCCUACGGGAGGCAGCAGUAGGGAAUCUUCCACAAUGGGCGCAAGCCUGAUGGAGCAACACCGCGUGAGUGAAGAAGGGUUUCGGCUCGUAAAGCUCUGUUGUUAAAGAAGAACACGUAUGAGAGUAACUGUUCAUACGUUGACGGUAUUUAACCAGAAAGUCACGGCUAACUACGUGCCAGCAGCCGCGGUAAUACGUAGGUGGCAAGCGUUAUCCGGAUUUAUUGGGCGUAAAGAGAGUGCAGGCGGUUUUCUAAGUCUGAUGUGAAAGCCUUCGGCUUAACCGGAGAAGUGCAUCGGAAACUGGAUAACUUGAGUGCAGAAGAGGGUAGUGGAACUCCAUGUGUAGCGGUGGAAUGUGUAGAUAUAUGGAAGAACACCAGUGGCGAAGGCGGCUACCUGGUCUGCAACUGACGCUGAGACUCGAAAGCAUGGGUGGCGAACAGGAUUAGAUACCCUGGUAGGAUAGCG
rnacentral:rRNA from 1 species